UUAAAUUGAAGAGUUUGAUCAUGGCUCAGAUUGAACGCUGGCGGCAGGCCUAACACAUGCAAGUCGAACGGUAACAGGAAACAGCUUGCUGUUUCGCUGACGAGUGGCGGACGGGUGAGUAAUGUCUGGGAAACUGCCUGAUGGAGGGGGAUAACU
rnacentral:rRNA from 3 species